ACGUAGGGGGCGAGCGUUGUUCGGAAUUACUGGGCGUAAAGGGCAUGUAGGCGGCUUUGUAAGCUUGGCGUGAAAUUCCACGGCUUAACCGUGGGAAUGCGUUGAGAACUGCGAGGCUUGAGUGACGGAGAGGGAGCUAGAAUUCCUGGUGUAGGGGUGGAAUCUGUAGAGAUCAGGAAGAAUACCAAUGGCGAAGGCAAGCUCCUGGCCGAUGACUGACGCUGAGGUGCGAAAGUGUGGGGAUCAAACAGGAUUAGAUACCCUGGUAGUCCACACUGUAAACGAUGUACACUAGGUGCUGGGGCGGAUGCUUCAGUGCCGUAGCUAACGUGAUAAGUGUACCGCCUGGGGAGUAUGCUCGCAAGGGUG
rnacentral:rRNA from 1 species